rnacentral:rRNA from 1 species
GAGUUUGAUCUUGGCUCAGAUUGAACGCUGGCGGCAUGCCUUACACAUGCAAGUCGAACGGCAGCAUGAUCUAGCUUGCUAGAUUGAUGGCGAGUGGCGAACGGGUGAGUAAUACAUCGGAACGUGCCCUGUAGUGGGGGAUAACUAGUCGAAAGAUUAGCUAAUACCGCAUACGACCUGAGGGUGAAAGUGGGGGACCGCAAGGCCUCAUGCUAUAGGAGCGGCCGAUGUCUGAUUAGCUAGUUGGUGGGGUAAAGGCCCACCAAGGCGACGAUCAGUAGCUGGUCUGAGAGGACGAUCAGCCACACUGGGACUGAGACACGGCCCAGACUCCUACGGGAGGCAGCAGUGGGGAACUUUGGACAAUGGGCGAAAGCCUGAUCCAGCAAUGCCGCGUGUGUGAAGAAGGCCU